UAGACUAUAGUCAAUAUAUGAUAUAUGAGUUGCAUUCAUAAGGAGUUCUUCAGAACUAGUUUAA
rnacentral:tRNA from 1 species